UACGGAGGGUGCAAGCGUUAAUCGGAAUUACUGGGCGUAAAGGGCGCGUAGGCGGGACGGUAGGUCUGCCGUGAAAUCCCCGAGCUCAACCUGGGAAUGGCGGUAGAAACCGGAGCACUUGAGUAUGGGGGAGGGUGGUGGAAUUCCAGAUGUAGCGGUGAAAUGCAUAGAUAUCUGGAGGAACACCGAUGGCGAAGGCGGCCACCUGGGCCAAUACUGACGCUGAGGCGCGAAAGCGUGGGGAGCAAACAGG
rnacentral:rRNA from 1 species